AUUGAACGCUGGCGGCAGGCUUAACACAUGCAAGUCGAGCGGAGAUGAGGUGCUUGCACCUUAUCUUAGCGGCGGACGGGUGAGUAAUGCUUAGGAAUCUGCCUAUUAGUGGGGGACAACAUUCCGAAAGGAAUGCUAAUACCGCAUACGUCCUACGGGAGAAAGCAGGGGAUCUUCGGACCUUGCGCUAAUAGAUGAGCCUAAGUCGGAUUAGCUAGUUGGUGGGGUAAAGGCCUACCAAGGCGACGAUCUGUAGCGGGUCUGAGAGGAUGGUCCGCCACACUGGGACUGAGACACGGCCCAGACUCCUACGGGAGGUAGCAGUGGGGAAUAUUGGACGAUGGGGGGAACCCGGAUCCAGCCAUGCCGCGUGUGUGAAGAAGGCCUUAUGGUUGUAAAGCACUUUAAGCGAGGAGGAGGCUACUGAGACUAAUACUCUUGGAUAGUGGACGUUACUCGCAGAAUAAGCACCGGCUAACUCUGUGCCAGCAGCCGCAGUAA
rnacentral:rRNA from 1 species